rnacentral:lncRNA from 1 species
AAAGGGGGGGAGAGAGAGAGAGGCAAAGGGGGGGAGAGAGAGAGAGCAAAGGGGGGGAGAGACAGAGAGGCAGGCAAAGGGAGACAGAGAGGCAGCCAAAGGGAGACAGAGAGGCAGGCAAAGGGAGAGAGAGAGGCAGGCAAAGGGAGAGGGAGAGGCAGGCAAAGGGAGAGGGAGAGAGAAAGGGAGAGAGAGGGAGCAAGAGAAAGCGAGAGAAAAAAGAAGAAAAAGUGAUGGACAGGGAGGAGAGGGAGAGAGAGGGAAAAGGAGAGAGCGUGAAAGAGAGAGCGAGAAAGAGAGAGAAAGAAAGAGAGAGAAAGAG